AGCGCAUCUAUUAGAUUAAAACCAAUCGGGUUUCGAUCCGUCAAUUGGUGACUCUGAAUAGCUCAGGCUGAUCGCAUGGUCUCGUACCGGCGACAUAUCUAUCAAGUGUCUGCCUUAUCAACUUUCGAUGGUAGUUUAUGUGCCUACCAUGGUUGUAACGGGUAACGGAGAAUAAGGGUUCGACUCCGGAGAGGGAGCCUGAGAAACGGCUACCACAUCCAAGGAGGGCAGCAGGCGCGCAAAUUACCCAAUCUCGGAAUGAGGAGGUAGUGACGAAAAAUAACGAGACCGUUCUCUUUGAGGCCGGUUAUCGGAAUGGGUACAAUUUAAACCCGUUAACGAGGAUCUAUGAGAGGGCAAGUCUGGUGCCAGCAGCCGCGGUAAUUCCAGCUCUCAAAGUGUAUAUCGUUAUUGCUGCGGUUAAAAAGCUCGUAGUUGGAUCUGCGUCUCAGGACCUGGUCCGUCCAUUGGACGUGAACUAGGAUCCUAGGCUCAAUAGGCCAGUUUUCCCUAUGUUACCUUAAUUGGUUGCGUAGGGUAGCAGGCAAGUUUACCUUGAAAAAAUUAGAGUGCUCAAUGCGGGCUAAUGCCUGAAUAUUCGUGCAUGGAAUAAUGAAAUAGGAUCUCGGUUCUAUUUUGUUGGUUUUCUGAUCUGAGAUAAUGGUUAAGAGGGACGGACGGGGGCAUUCGUAUCGCUGCGUGAGAGGUGAAAUUCUUGGACCGUAGCGAGACGCCCGACUGCGAAAGCAUUUGCCAAGAAUGUCUUCAUUAAUCAAG
rnacentral:rRNA from 1 species